rfam:Salmo salar isolate Sally breed double haploid chromosome ssa03, whole genome shotgun sequence.
UGCACUCACUACUGUAAGUCACUCUGGAUAAGAGUGUCUGCUAAAUGACUAAAU